rnacentral:rRNA from 1 species
AGCAGCCGCGGUAAUUCCAGCUCCAAUAGCGUAUAUUAAAGUUGUUGCAGUUAAAAAGCUCGUAGUUGAAUUUCGGGAUCAAUACGUCGGUCGUGCUUCGGUACGUACUGGCAUCAUUGAUUUCUCCCUUCUGACGAACCAUGAUGUCAUUAACUUGGUGUCAUGGGAAAUCAGGACUGUUACUUUGAAAAAAUUAGAGUGUUUAAAGCAGGCUCACGCUUGAAUACAUUAGCAUGGAAUAAUGAAAUAGGACGUUCGAACCUAUUUUGUUGGUUUCUAGGAUCAACGUAAUGAUUAAUAGGGAUAGUUGGGGGCAUUAGUAUUCAAUUGUCAGAGGUGAAAUUCUUGGAUUUAUUGAAGACUAACUACUGCGAAAGCAUUUGCCAAGGAUGUUUUCAUUAAUCAAGAACGAAAGUUAGGGGAUCGAAGACGAUCAGAUACCGUCGUAGUCUUAACCAUAAACUAUGCCGACUAGGGAUCGGAUGAUGUUAAUUUUUUAAUGACUCAUUCGGCGCCUUACG